GCCUUACACAUGCAAGUCAACGGCAGCACGGGUGCUUGCACCUGGUGGCGAGUGGCGAACGGGUGAGUAAUACAUCGGAACAUGUCCUGUAGUGGGGGAUAGCCCGGCGAAAGCCGGAUUAAUACCGCAUACGAUCUACGGAUGAAAGCGGGGGACCUUCGGGCCUCGCGCUAUAGGGUUGGCCGAUGGCUGAUUAGCUAGUUGGUGGGGUAAAGGCCUACCAAGGCGACGAUCAGUAGCUGGUCUGAGAGGACGACCAGCCACACUGGGACUGAGACACGGCCCAGACUCCUACGGGAGGCAGCAGUGGGGAAUUUUGGACAAUGGGCGAAAGCCUGAUCCAGCAAUGCCGCGUGUGUGAAGAAGGCCUUCGGGUUGUAAAGCACUUUUGUCCGGAAAGAAAUCCUUGGUUCUAAUAUAGCCGGGGGAUGACGGUACCGGAAGAAUAAGCACCGGCUAACUACGUGCCAGCAGCCGCGGUAAUACGUAGGGUGCGAGCGUUAAUCGGAAUUACUGGGCGUAAAGCGUGCGCAGGCGGUUUGCUAAGACCGAUGUGAAAUCCCCGGGCUCAACCUGGGAACUGCAUUGGUGACUGGCAGGCUAGAGUAUGGCAGAGGGGGGUAGAAUUCCACGUGUAGCAGUGAAAUGCGUAGAGAUGUGGAGGAAUACCGAUGGCGAAGGCAGCCCCCUGGGCCAAUACUGACGCUCAUGCACGAAAGCGUGGGGAGCAAA
rnacentral:rRNA from 1 species